GCAUUUCCAGAUUGGGGCUCGGGCCGCGCCUCCUCCGGGACCCUCCCCUUGGACCGAGCCGAUCGCCGCGGGGCAGUUCGGGCCGGCUGUCCUGGCGCGGUGAAGGUGAUAAAGUAAAGUGCUUUCACUGUGGAGGAGGGCUAACUGAUUGGAAGCCCAGUGAAGACCCUUGGGAACAACAUGCUAAAUGGUAUCCAGGGUGCAAAUAUCUGUUAGAACAGAAGGGACAAGAAUAUAUAAGCAAUAUUCAUUUAACUCAUUCACUUGAGGAGUGUCUGGUAAGAACUACUGAGAAAACACCAUCACUAACUAGAAGAAUUGAUGAUACCAUCUUCCAAAAUCCUAUGGUACAAGAAGCUAUACGAAUGGGGUUCAGUUUCAAGGACAUUAAGAAAAUAAUGGAGGAAAAAAUUCAGAUAUCUGGGAGCAACUAUAAAUCACUUGAGGUUCUGGUUGCAGAUCUAGUGAAUGCUCAGAAAGACAGUAUGCAAGAUGAGUCAAGUCAGACUUCAUUACAGAAAGAGAUUAGUACU
rnacentral:sRNA from 1 species